AUUUUCGAUGCCAUGAAACAUCCCUUGGAGGAGCAUUCUGUUUUUCAUAUUGAAAUGAUAUCUGAAUUGGUUAAUGACACUUGUUCUGAGUUAUUUUCACUUGAUUUUCUUUCUUUAUCUGGAUUUGAUGAUGUUUACUCAUGUGCUGAUUGUACUGACACUGACCUUUGUGUUGUAUGUGCUGAGAUUGAUGCUGCCUUGCAGGGUGACAUGUGUAUUACAGCUGAAAUUGUUGCCCACGAAGCUGUUUAUGCAGCUGAUACUCUUGACAUCCCUGCUGCCCCAAGCACUCCUUCCA
rnacentral:lncRNA from 1 species